AUCUGCUAGGAAAGUGAUGCGGACAUCCAUUUAUUAUUUAUUUUCUAUUUGGACUCUUAGUUAUAUUUUAUUUGAACUAUUGUUUAUGUUUUCGUUAUUGGGCUUGUUUAGUGGGUUUGGCCCAAGCCCUUCUCUUUAGGGUUUAUCUUCUGCUAUUUAUUUCUGUUUUGUUUCUCAUUUGAGAUAGUUGAUGAUGAAUUAGAAUUGAAAUAUUUUUUGGUGGCUUGCAGCCGUUUUCUCCCUCCCCUCUCUUCCUCUGGUUUCUUCUCCUCUUCUCCCUUCUCUCUGUUUCUCCUCCCCGUUCCGUCUUCCUUCUAUUUUAUUCAUCCUACAUCAAAUUUGGUAUCAGAGCCGAAUCUUGGGUACUUUCUUUUACAAUCUAAAAUCUCUUCUUUUCUCCCAAAUUUUGUUGGGACAGCACAAAUUAAAAGGAUUUUGAUAAAGGUAGCAAUUUUAUUCCUCAAUUUUCAGAGUUAGUUAAAAAAAAAAAAAAAUCGUGUUACUGUUCACGGGUACUGUUCACACCCGGAUUCCAAAUUUUUUAUUUUCGUUCUGUAAAAAAAAAAAAAAAAAAAAAAUUUGCUAUUCAAUUUGAUUGAUUUGCUGCUUCCUUUUGCAUUAAAGUUGCUGUUUCAAACCCUAGCUUAUAUUUUUUUUUUUCAAUUCCAUAUAUUCUAGCCCAACAUAAUUUUCAGUCUAAACUCAGCCCAUAUUGAACACAGCCCAAACCCACGUAACCCACUAAUUCGUAAUCUAUAGACUCGGUCAAGCCCAUAUCCCUAACCCAAUUACAGCAGCCCAUUGAUUCAUUAUUCCAACUCUAUUUAUACUCCAAGCCCAUAAGACCCAAUUACCAUACAAACCAAUUAUCCAGCCCACACCCACAUUAGCCCGAGUAUAACCAAUCCAUUAACAUCAAAUAUCCCACAGUUUCACCCGAUUCCUCUCUCACAACCACUCUCUUGCUGCCAUUGCCUCUAAUCACCAUCACGCUACCACUUCAUUAUCUAUUGUACCCAGGCAUCCACUUCAAAUCGGCACAAUCAACCAUAAACAUAAUCCAAUUUGCUGCCUUCUUCAACACAUUCUACAGAUUUCUAUCACCGACACCCACCCACUCAGACGCCUCUAUCCCCGGCGUUUCUGUCUUUCACCAACUUCAUUGAUCAAGCAGUUUACUGUCUCUACUACCAAGCAACCCAUUCAGUUACACAGAUGUUUCUAUUUCAGCAUCUGUCCAAUUUCAUUGAAGCCAACAAUUUAGAAUAUGUAAUGACCGUGAGUUCAGGAGCUGGAGACAUUUGACACAGGCAGAUCAGAGGACCAAUCGUUAGCAAUUCAAGCAACUAGACUACAGGGAGUUGCUAUCUCUUAAUUCUCAUUGGUUUAUACUGCUGUUUUAUUUUAAAAGUGCAUCACUUAGAUUCUUUGUGUUGCUGUUACUAUCACAACUUUGGCCUCAAACUUCACUUGACUGGAAUCACUCAUUGAAUUGACUUGCCAUUGUUGCCCCAUUUAUCUCACUGAAUUGAUGUGCCAUUGUUACCUCUUUUAUCUACCUGAUUGGAAAUCUUGACAAUACCAUUUGAUCUUAAUAAGCAUUGGACCCUUGCUUUAUUAUUUACAAGUAUCAGCACUAUUAACUUGCAUUUUUGAAGGGAAGAAAAGAGAGAGAGAAUUUCAAAUUGAUGUUUUAAUCGUUGGUCCUUGAUGCAUAUUGGUCUCUCUAUUGCAUUUCAUUUAGGUAGUAUUGCUUUGCAUGUAGUUACAUAUUGGUCAUCUUGUCACUUCUAGCUCUAGUACCUUAAACAUGAACCCCUCACAAUUCGAUGCACUCACCCGACAAAUAGCGGCUAUUCAAACUCAAAUGACCGCUACUCUUGAAGAGAAUAAGGCCCUAUCUGUUAGUUCGAAAAAUUUUAAACACAUCCCUCAUUCGAUUGAUGUUAAUAAUUUUAAAGUGUCCCAUAAUAGACAACAUCGUCGACAAGGUAAUCAAAAAUACUUUCGACCCGAUCGUAAGGAUAGGGAUAGGAAUAGGGAUCAGAUUCGUGAGCGAGAACGAGAUAAUUUUGAAAUUCUUACUCAAUGGAAUGCCCUUAAACAAGGAAAUCAAUUAGUGACUGGGUAUAUCGCGCAAUUUAAGGAAUUUCGAAUCAAAUGUCAUUUAAUUGAGGAUGAGAGCACAACUUUGAGUAGGUUUAGCCAAGGUCUGAGAGAUGAUCUUAAGCGCGAGCUUUUCCUUCGAGGUGUCACUACUCUUGAUCACGCUUACUCUUUAGCUCGAGAUUAUGAGUUGAUUAUUAGUACUCCAUAUGAAAAGCGUGGUCAUCGUCGCUUACCCAUCUCAUUAGCGUCGCCUCAUCAUAAGUCUAUCAUAAAACUGUCUCCGUCUAAUGUUCCUCCUAUUUGGAAAAAUAAUUGUAAAGGUCGUGAUAGUCCACAAUCUCCUUUUCCAUGUAGAAAGCAUAUUGAUAAUCAUCCUUCGGUGUCAUUGGCUCCAAUUCCUCUCGUUAAGUCCCUUCUAGGACCACCCCCAUCUGAUGUUCCUCCAAUUGUGAAAAAUAAGGAUAAAAUUUUUUAUAAUCAUCAUUUGGCUUCAUUGGCUCCACCUCCUCCCGUUAAGUCCCUUCUAGGACCUCCCUCUUCUAAUGGUUUUCCAAUCUUGGAAAACCAUGGUAGAAUUUCUGAAACUCCAAGGUCUUCUUCUCACUUGUUAUGUGUCAACUGUAAAGACUUUGGUCACAUUUCUUCCAAAUGUACUAAUCGAACCUUAGUCAUGGAAGAACGAAAGAAUGUAAUAGAUAUUCCAUUAGAAGAUCUAGUCUAUGAACCUAAACUUGAAGAUUUUGAUGACUUGGAUGAUAGUGAUGACACUUCUUUAGGUGGACUCCAGAGUCUUCCCGAGACUUUAGAUACUAUACCCCUUGUUUCUGACAACUCUCGGUCACAUGUUAUAUGUCAUACCCUUGCACAACUCAAAGAGCUUGAUGAUUUCACUGGCCACCCUUGGAGAAUCCAGUCGCCUGUGGUUAGCAUUAAAUCAACAUUCCCCACUACUGACCAACUUCAAACUGAUGGUCAAAAUGAAGUCGUUAACCAAAGUCCUGGCAAUUUAUUCAAGUCUCUAGUCCAGAAAAAUCUUAGAAAUUGGGACUUGAUUCCCCCAACUGUUCAAAUAGCAUAUAACAAUUCUAUAAAUCGGUCUCUAGGUUUGAAUCCAUUUGAAACUGUUCAUAGUUAUAAGUCUAGGCGGCCGUUAGACCUUAUUUCCAUGUCCCCACAUGCUAGUGCGUCGAUAUCAGUUGAAGCAUUUGUGCAUCAUCUUCAUGACUUGCAUAUUAAGAUCAAUAAACAACUUCCCGCAAGUAAUGCAUUAUAUAAACUUCAAAUUGAUUUGCAUAAACAAUAUUUUCAAUUUCAUAUUGGGGAUUAUGUUAUAUUGCAAGCCGGUAGUGCUGGUCCUUUUAAAGUUUUAAAGCAUGUUGGUCCAUACGCACAUGUCAUUAAUUUUUCAUCACAUUUUGGCCACCUCUCUACUUUACAUAUUGAAGACUUAGUUACUUACAAAGGCCUUUUUAAUUUCCUUGAUGAUCAUUUUCUACUUCCUUAUGUGAAUCCCCAACCUAAAUAUAUUACCAUUCUCACUCCAAUAACACAUGUCACAGCACACAAAGAUGUAAUUGAUGCUAUUUUAGAUAAACAGGUUGUGUUGACCAAUGAGGAAGAUUUUGGAGAUGAGUGGCAUGAAUUUUUACUAUUGGGACUUCAGUAUCGGUAUGUGAUUACAAAGAAAUAUCGUCCUCUUUGGUUAGAUCAUAUCCUUGAGGAUAAGCUACAACUAUCCUUGUUAUCAUUUGUGGAGUUUUGGUAUUUGGUCAUCGACAAAGAUCGUCCCCCGUGACAUGACUUGGAGCCUUUCGCAUCAGAUUCAGUGCAACAUUCUACUUUAUCUACUCGACGGGGUCGAGUUUUUCUCCCACCCCGGGAGAGUUGAUGCGGACAUCCAUUUAUUAUUUAUUUUCUAUUUGGACUCUUAGUUAUAUUUUAUUUGAACUAUUGUUUAUGUUUUCGUUAUUGGGCUUGUUUAGUGGGUUUGGCCCAAGCCCUGCUUUUUAGGGUUUAUCUUCUGCUAUUUAUUUCUGUUUUGUUUCUCAUUUGAGACAGUUGAUGAUGAAUUAGAAUUGAAAUAUUUUUUGGUGGCUUGCAGCCGUUUUCUCCCUCCCCUCUCUUCCUCUGGUUUCUUCUCCUCUUCUCCCUUCUCUCUGUUUCUCCUCCCCGUUCCUUCUUCCUUCUAUUUUAUUCAUCCUACAUCAGAAAGC
rnacentral:lncRNA from 1 species